rnacentral:rRNA from 1 species
UACGGGGGGGGCAAGCGUUGUUCGGAAUUACUGGGCGUAAAGGGCUUGUAGGUGGCCAACUAAGUCAGACGUGAAAUCCCUCAGCUUAACUGGGGAACUGCGUCUGAUACUGGAUGGCUUGAGAUUGGGAGAGGGACGCGGAAUUCCAGGUGUAGCGGUGAAAUGCGUAGAUAUCUGGAGGAACACCGGUGGCGAAGGCGGCAUCCUGGACCGGUAUUGACGCUGAUGCGCGAAAGCCAGGGGAGCAAACAGG